UGAGUACGAGAUGCUACGGCAUCGAAGCAGUCUAUGUCAUACUUCCAAGAAAAGCUCGCACUGUCAAAAACAAAUGAAUGCCUGUACCAUAACCGACACAGGUGGGUAGGUAGAGUAUACUAAGGGGCGCGAGAUAACUCUCUCUAAGGAACUCGGCAAAAUGACUCCGUAACUUCGGGAGAAGGAGUGCCUUCUUUGGAAGGUUCAAUAACCAGAUCCAAGCAACUGUUUAUCAAAAACACAGGUCUCCGCUAAGUCGUAAGACGAUGUAUGGGGGCUGACGCCUGCCCAGUGCCAGAAGGUUAAAGAAGUUGGUUAGCUUCGGCGAAGCUGAUAACUGAAGCCCUGGUGAACGGCGGCCGUAACAAUAACGGUCCUAAGGUAGCGAAAUUCCUUGUCGGGUAAGUUCCGACCCGCACGAAAGGCGUAAUGAUUUGGAUACUGUCUCAGAGAGGGACUCGGUGAAAUAGACUUGUCUGUGAAGAUGCGGACUACCUGCACCUGGACAGAAAGACCCUAUGAAGCUUUACUGUAACUUGAGAUUGAAAUUGGACUUUAUUCGCGCAGUAUAGGUGGGAGGCGUUGAAAAUACUCUUGCGGGAAUAUUGGAGCCAUCAGUGAGAUACCACUCUUGUAAUGUUAGAUUUCUAACUUUGUAUCAUUAUCUGGUCAAAGAACAGUUUCAGGCGGGCAGUUUGACUGGGGCGGUCGCCUCCCAAAUGGUAACGGAGGCGCACAAAGGUUUCCUCUGAACGGGUAGAAAUCGUAUCUAGAGUGUAAAGGCAUAAGGAAGCUUGACUGUGAGACCUACAAGUCGAGCAGGGACGAAAGUCGGUCUUAGUGAUCUGACGGUGCUGAGUGGAAAGGCCGUCACUCAACGGAUAAAAGUUACUCUAAGGAUAACAGGCUGAUCUCCCCCAAGAGUUCACAUCGACGGGGAGGUUUGGCACCUCGAUGUCGGCUCAUCGCAUCCUGGGGCGGUAGUACGUCCCAAGGGUUGGGCUGUUCGCCCAUGAAAGCGGUACGCGAGCUGGGUUCAGAACGUCGUGAGACAGUUCGGUCCAUAUCCGGUGUAGGCGUUAGAAUAUUGAGAGGAGCCUUCUUUAGUACGAGAGGACCGAGAAGGACAUACCUCUGGUGUACCAGUUAUCGUGCCAACGGUAAACGCUGGGUAGCUAUGUAUGGAGUGGAUAACCGCUGAAAGCAUCUAAGUGGGAAGCCCACCUCAAGAUAAGUAUUCUC
rnacentral:rRNA from 1 species